rnacentral:rRNA from 1 species
UGACGGUACCCACAAAGGAAGCACCGGCUAACUCCGUGCCAGCAGCCGCGGUAAUACGGGGGGUGCAAGCGUUGUUCGGAUUUAUUGGGCGUAAAGCGCGUGUAGGCGGUUUCUUAAGUCUGAUGUGAAAGCCCUGGGCUCAACCCAGGAAGUGCAUUGGAUACUGGGAGACUUGAAUACGGGAGAGGGUAGUGGAAUUCCUAGUGUAGGAGUGAAAUCCGUAGAUAUUAGGAGGAACACCGGUGGCGAAGGCGGCUACCUGGACCGAUAUUGACGCUGAGACGCGAAAGCGUGGGGAGCAAACAGGAUUAGAUACCCUGGUAGUCCACGCCGUAAACGAUGAGAACUAGGUGUUGCGGGUAUUGACCCCUGCAGUGCCGCAGCUAACGCAUUAAGUUCUCCGCCUGGGAAGUACGGUCGCAAGACUA